rnacentral:tRNA from 6 species
GGGGGUGUAGCUCAGCUGGUUAGAGCGCUGGCCUGUCACGCCAGAGGCCGCGGGUUCGAGUCCCGUCACUCCCGCCA